CAAUAGCGUAUAUUAAAGUUGUUGCGGUUAAAAAGCUCGUAGUUGGAUUUCUGCCGAGGACGUCCGGUCCACCCUCUGGGUGUGUACAUGGCACGGCCUGGGCAUCUUCUUGGGGUACGUAUCUGCACUUGACUGUGUGGUGCGGAAUCCAGGACUUUUACUUUGAGGAAAUUAGAGUGUUUCAAGCAGGCACGCGCCUUGAAUACAUUAGCAUGGAAUAAUAAGAUAGGACCUCGGUUCUAUUUUGUUGGUUUCUAGAGCUGAGGUAAUGAUUAAUAGGGAUAGUUGGGGGCAUUCGUAUUUAACUGUCAGAGGUGAAAUUCUUGGAUUUGUUGAAGACGGACUACUGCGAAAGCAUUUGCCAAGGAUGUUUUCAUUGA
rnacentral:rRNA from 1 species